CCAAAACUAACAUUCAAUCACUUAAAAGCAAAUGAAAAUAAAAAAAACUUAAGGCCUAUCCCCUUAUUCAUUCGGCCGAACCUAAGGCUUCCCUCAACUUCGCCUCCAUAUUAUCAAAUCGGACCCCCUGAAUCCCCAUCAGAGCUUCGAUUUCAACGAAGCAAACAAGGAUUCGUAGGCUCCUUCCCAACAGAUAAGUGUUUAUGCCUUUAUUUAUUUUGUACUUUUACGCACAAUAAUGAAGAUCGAAGAAAAAAAUAGAAGUCAAAAUCGAAAGAAAAAAAAUGAAAUCUCAAAUCACCUCUUGGAGACUGUUUUUCUUUUUUUAUUCAAAGUUUUUGAACCGAUUUUUGUAUAGACUGGUAUGCGUAUUGCCUUUCUCUCCAAAAACCCCCUUUGCAUUCCAUUUCAUUGGCUUUUUAUAGCCGAAUAAAAAGAAUAAUAAUAAUAAUACAAGAAAUUUUCCCUUAGAUCUAUUUGCUGUCAAUCUGUUGCGGGUUGUUAGUCUGUUAUUUUCUUCUUGCAAGUUCGAUUGUACGGAGGAGAACGCUCGUGGGGAUGACGUGGAGGAGGCUUGGGGCUCUGUGGCGCUGAAGACCCUUGCUGAGGAGGCUGCAAUGUUGGUCCUAGGGUUUUAGUCCCUGAAACCGAAUAUUGGGCCAUCUGGGUCGAGUUUCAAUUGGGUUAAAUAUUUGGGCUAAGAUUAAUGCUUUGGGUCUUUGUAUUUAUGGAUUGUGGACUAUAUUUUAUUUUUAUUUGGUUUAUUUAUUUGUUUGUAAAUAAAUUUAAAGGCCCGGGCAAAAUGGGCCUUCUACACAUAGUGUUAUUAGUAGGCUCAAAUUGACAAUACCAUUAGUUGUUGACCCGUGUAUUAUUUUUAAAACUAGGGGCGAAGCUAGAAUUGUUGAUAAGGUGGGUAAGAUAUUUUUAUAAAGGGUAAACUAUAAAAAUAGUCACUUAUGUAUGGUUUAAAUUACGUUUUGAUCAUUGAACUUUAAUUUGUUAUAUUUUGGUCAUUAACAUUAUCAAUUUGUAAUGUUUUGGUCACUCUGCCGUUACUAGACGUUAAUGAUGUUAUGGAAAUCUGAUGUGGCUUGUUAAAUGCUGAUGUGGUUUCCAUGUCAGCACCACUAGGGAUGAGCAAAAUUUGAUUCAAUUCGAAAAAUAAAAAAAAUCAAAUUUUGAGUUAAUCUAAUCGAGUAAUUUGAGUUUCGAGUCGAAUUGAAUUUAACAAUUCAAAUAAUUUGAAUAACAAAUUGGAGUAAAUACCCUUUUG
rnacentral:lncRNA from 1 species